rnacentral:piRNA from 1 species
UAGGACACUGACUCUGUUCUUUCUCCAGCC